UCGAUUUACUGGGUGUAAGGGCCGUGCAGCGAAGAUGGCAAGGUUGGGAGGUGAAAUCCUGGGGCUCAAACCCGGAAACUGCUUUCAAAACUGUUAUCCUUGAGUGUCGGAGGAGGCAAGCGGAAAUUCCUAGUGUAGCGUGAAAUGCGUAGAAUAUUAGGAGGAACACCAGUGGCGAGGGCGGCUUGCUGGACGAUAACUGAACGCUGAGGCGCGAAAGCGUGGGGAGCAAAACAGGAUUAGAUACCCUGGUAGUCCACCGCUGUAAACGAUGAAUACUAGGUGGUGGGAGGACUGACCCAUUCCGUGCCGCAGUUAACACAAUAAGUAUUCCACCUGGGGAGUACGACCGCAAGGUUGAAACUCAAAGGAAUUGACGGGGGCCCGCACAAGCAGUGGAUUAUGUGGUUUAAUUCGACGCAACGCGAAGAACCUUACCAGGGUUUGACAUCCAACUAACGAAGUAGAGAUACAUUAGGUGCCCUUCGGGGAAAGUUGAGACAGGUGGUGCAUGGUUGUCGUCAGCUCGUGUCGUGAGAUGUUGGGUUAAGUCCCGCAACGAGCGCAACCCCUAUUGUUAGUUGCUACGCAAGAGUACUCUAGCGAGACUGCCGUUGACAAAACGGAGGAAGGCGGGGACGACGUCAAAUCAUCAUGCCCCUUAUAUCCUGGGCUACACACGUAAUACAAUGGUGGUCAACAGAGGGAGGCAAAGGAGCGAUCCGGAGCAAAUCCCUAAAAGCCAUCUCAGUUCGGAUUGCAGGCUGCAACUCGCCUGCAUGAAGCUGGAAUUGCUAGUAAUCGCGGAUCAGC
rnacentral:rRNA from 1 species